AAUUUUUUUAAACAUCUUCACUGGGAAAAGCAUCCGGAUGGGGAAAUGGUGAAGGAGAGCUGGAGAAAUGCAAACUUUCACUGCCAGGUUUUAAUCCAGUCUGAGCCAAGAAGGUCAAAGUACAGACCUCAAUCCAACAGAGAAUCCAUGCCACAGGAUCUGAAGAUGCCAGCCACAGAUGCAAGUGACAUGCCAGGAGAAAAUUCUGCUGGAGUAUGGCCAUACAGCCUGGAAAUCAUACAACACCCCAAUGAUUCUGGCUGUGAAAGUCUUCAACAAUACUUUUGAAAUUGUCCAAUUAACUGAGGCACCUUUUGAACAUAUUCAAAUAAUCAAAUAAUCUAACUGAUAAUCAAAUAUUCUAAAAAAAUCAAUAAUAUAAUUGAUGAAUUGACUAAACAUCCCAAUCUUAAUAAAUACAUAUAUAUCAGUA